GGCCGCGGGAAUUCGAUUCAGGCCUAACACAUGCAAGUCGAGCGGUAGAGAGAAGCUUGCUUCUCUUGAGAGCGGCGGACGGGUGAGUAAUGCCUAGGAAUCUGCCUGGUAGUGGGGGAUAACGUCCGGAAACGGACGCUAAUACCGCAUACGUCCUACGGGGGAAAGCAGGGGACCUUCGGGCCUUGCGCUAUCAGAUGAGCCUAGGUCGGAUUAGCUAGUUGGUGGGGUAAUGGCUCACCAAGGCGACGAUCCGUAACUGGUCUGAGAGGAUGAUCAGUCACACUGGAACUGAGACACGGUCCAGACUCCUACGGGAGGCAGCAGUGGGGAAUAUUGGACAAUGGGCGAAAGCCUGAUCCAGCCAAGCCGCGUGUGUGAAGAAGGUCUUCGGAUUGUAAAGCAAAUGAAGUUGGGAGGAAGGGCAGUAAAUUAAUACUUUGCUGUUU
rnacentral:rRNA from 1 species